rnacentral:rRNA from 1 species
CGAGUUGGCUUAGGGAUACGUUCGUUGGGUAGGGGAGCGUUCUGUAAGCCGUUGAAGGUGGCCUGUGAGGGUUGCUGGAGGUAUCAGAAGUGCGAAUGCUGACAUAAGUAACGAUAAAGCGGGUGAAAAGCCCGCUCGCCGGAAGACCAAGGGUUCCUGUCCAACGUUAAUCGGGGCAGGGUGAGUCGACCCCUAAGGCGAGGCCGAAAGGCGUAGUCGAUGGGAAACGGGUUAAUAUUCCCGUACUUGGUGUUACUGCGAAGGGGGGACGGAGAAGGCUAUGUUGGCCGGGCGACGGUUGUCCCGGUUUAAGCGUGUAGGUGUGUGUUCCAGGUAAAUCCGGUUCACUUUAACACUGAGGCGUGACGACGAGGCACUACGGUGCUGAAGCAACAAAUGCCCUGCUUCCAGGAAAAGCCUCUAAGCAUCAGGUAACAUCAAAUCGUACCCCAAACCGACACAGGUGGUCAGGUAGAGAAUACCAAGGCGCUUGAGAGAACUCGGGUGAAGGAACUAGGCAAAAUGGUGCCGUAACUUCGGGAGAAGGCACGCUGACACGUAGGUGAAGUGAUUUACUCAUGGAGCUGAAGUCAGUCGAAGAUACCAGCUGGCUGCAACUGUUUAUUAAAAACACAGCACUGUGCAAACACGAAAGUGGACGUAUACGGUGUGACGCCUGCCCGGUGCCGGAAGGUUAAUUGAUGGGGUCAGCGCAAGCGAAGCUCCUGAUCGAAGCCCCGGUAAACGGCGGCCGUAACUAUAACGGUCCUAAGGUAGCGAAAUUCCUUGUCGGGUAAGUUCCGACCUGCACGAAUGGCGUAAUGAUGGCCAGGCUGUCUCCACCCGAGACUCAGUGAAAUUGAACUCGCUGUGAAGAUGCAGUGUACCCGCGGCAAGACGGAAAGACCCCGUGAACCUUUACUAUAGCUUGACACUGAACAUUGAGCCUUGAUGUGUAG